ACAUACAAAUUAAAAUAAUAAAUAACUACAAGAAUAAAAUAAUAAAUUAAAACGUGCACUACCAGAACAUUCAAUCAAUAAUAAAUAACAAAAUAGUCCCGAAACAUGGGCAAACAAACAUAUAUACAUUUUUACAAAACUCGCAGCAAAACAAUUUUACAACCCUAUUUACAAUAUAUACAUUUAGAUCGCAUUCGAUCUUUCGCUUCGGUGUACCCCUUGCGAAGGCGGGAUUCACCGGCGGGCAAAAUGUCACUUUGAUCGAUGAAUCGAUCGACGAUCGAUCAUCGGUGACAGAUCGCGAAACGUCACUCUUCGGGAAACGAUCAGACGUCAAACAUAUCGGCAUGAUCAAUGUUUUUGUUUACAGUGAUCAUGGUGAUAUGUUGAGUGAUAAUUGGGUCGUGUGUUUCAAUGAAAUUGGCCAAAUUUCAUUGAACCAAUAGGGUGUAUUGGUGUUAUCAAUGGGGUGAAAUUCCCCCAGAAAUAUGGACUGUUUUGCUGCCAGAGCAACAUCUUCCUGUGGAAGAUUUGCCUGCAGAAAACUUUUGGGAUCGCGGGACUUCCAUGCGAGCCAUCUUGCAUGCUGCAAGAUGCACUGCAGGUAGGUAAUAACAUUGAUUAAAGUGCACAUAAUUAAUCAAAAAAUUCAAUCGAUCACAACUAGUGAUCGCAAAAGUGACUCAAGGGUCAACAUUGGUUGACUAGUGGAGGUUUAUUUACCAGUCUUACCGUGAUGAGUGCUGGUUUAACACCCCAGUUCCUGCCACGGGAACUUUUGAUUGGGAUUAAUUGAUCCACAAUCAAAUUAUGUGAAAAGUUGUCUCUUCACAAAUUUUCCACAAAAUUUUUAACUGACACUUUUCACACUACUAAUGUUGCUCUUUAUUCCUCUUUGCAGAACGAUACCAUCAAUGAUUUCACAGUUAGCGUAGGGACCUCAGCGGUGGAAUUUUGGGUGGAAUUUGCGCACUGAGCUCCGAGGACCUGAACGGAUAACUCCUCGCCAGCCCAUGCAUUCCGCUCCCGACUUCCUGCCUGGCCCACUACUUGGCUGUUGCCGAAAUACAUUGUGUAUGU